UGUAGUCAUAUGCUUGUCUCAAAGAUUAAGCCAUGCAUGUCUAAGUAUAAGCAAUUAUACAGCGAAACUGCGAAUGGCUCAUUAUAUAAGUUAUCGUUUAUUUGAUAGUACCUUACUACUUGGAUAACCGUGGUAAUUCUAGAGCUAAUACAUGCUAAAAAUCCCGACUUCGGAAGGGAUGUAUUUAUUAGAUUAAAAACCAAUGCCCUUCGGGGCUCACUGGUGAUUCAUGAUAACUCCUCGAAUCGCAUGGCCUUGUGCCGGCGAUGGUUCAUUCAAAUUCUUCCCUAUCAACUUCGAUGUUGUAUGCCAAUUGCC
rnacentral:rRNA from 1 species